CCUACGGGUGGCAGCAGUGAGGAAUAUUGGUCAAUGGGCGCGAGCCUGAACCAGCCAAGUAGCGUGAAGGAUGACUGCCCUACGGGUUGUACACUUCUUUUGUCAGGGAGCAAUUGGGUCCACGCGUGGGCUUAGCGAGAGUACCUGAAGAAAAAGCAUCGGCUAACUUCGUGCCCGCAGCCGGGGUAAUACGGAGGAUGCGAGCGUUAUCCGGAUUUAUUGGGUUUAAAGGGUGCGUAGGCGGAAUAUUAAGUCAGCGGUAAAAAUUCGGGUCUCAACCCCGUCGUGCCGUUGAAACUGAUGUCCUUGAGUGGGCGAGAAGAAUGCGGAAUGCGUGGUGUAGCGGUGAAAUGCAUAGAUAUCACGCAGAACUCCGAUUGCGAAGGCAGCAUACCGGCGCCCAACUGACGCUGAAGCACGAAAGCGUGGGUAUCGAACAGGAUUAGAUACCCGGGUAGUC
rnacentral:rRNA from 1 species